UGGGGAAUAUUGCACAAUGGGCGCAAGCCUGAUGCAGCCAUGCCGCGUGUAUGAAGAAGGCCUUCGGGUUGUAAAGUACUUUCAGCGAGGAGGAAGGCGUUGUGGUUAAUAACCGCAACGAUUGACGUUACUCGCAGAAGAAGCACCGGCUAACUCCGUGCCAGCAGCCGCGGUAAUACGGAGGGUGCAAGCGUUAAUCGGAAUUACUGGGCGUAAAGCGCACGCAGGCGGUCUGUCAAGUCGGAUGUAAAAUCCCCGGGCUCAACCUGGGAACUGCAUCCGAAACUGGCAGGCUAGAGUCUUGUAGAGGGGGGUAGAAUUCCAGGUGUAGCGGUGAAAUGCGUAGAGAUCUGGAGGAAUACCGGUGGCGAAGGCGGCCCCCUGGACAAAGACUGACGCUCAGGUGCGAAAGCGUGGGGAGCAAACA
rnacentral:rRNA from 1 species